AACGCUAGCUACAGGCUUAACACAUGCAAGUCGCGGGGCAGCAUGAAUUUAGCUUGCUAAAUUUGAUGGCGACCGGCGCACGGGUGAGUAACGCGUAUCCAACCUUCCCUUAUCCACGGGAUAGCCCGUCGAAAGGCGGAUUAAUACCGUAUGAGGUCAUUUGAUGGCAUCUGAUUAUGACGAAAGGUUUUGCGGACAUGGAUGGGGAUGCGUCCGAUUAGCUUGUUGGCGGGGUAACGGCCCACCAAGGCGACGAUCGGUAGGGGUUCUGAGAGGAAGGUCCCCCACAUUGGAACUGAGACACGGUCCAAACUCCUACGGGAGGCAGCAGUGAGGAAUAUUGGUCAAUGGACGUAAGUCUGAACCAGCCAAGUAGCGUGCAGGAUGACGGCCCUAUGGGUUGUAAACUGCUUUUAUGCGGGGAUAAAGUGUGGGACGUGUCCCAUAUUGCAGGUACCGCAUGAAUAAGGACCGGCUAAUUCCGUGCCAGCAGCCGCGGUAAUACGGAAGGUCCGGGCGUUAUCCGGAUUUAUUGGGUUUAAAGGGAGCGUAGGCCGUCGUUUAAGCGUGUUGUGAAAUGCCGCGGCUCAACCGUGGCACUGCAGCGCGAACUGGAUGACUUGAGUUCGCGGGAGGUAGGCGGAAUUCGUGGUGUAGCGGUGAAAUGCUUAGAUAUCACGAAGAACUCCGAUUG
rnacentral:rRNA from 1 species